rnacentral:rRNA from 1 species
UGGGGAAUUUUGGACAAUGGGCGAAAGCCUCAUCCAGCAAUGCCGCGUGUGUGAAGAAGGCCUUCGGGUUGUAAAGCACUUUUGUCCGGAAAGAAAUCCUUGGCUCUAAUACAGUCGGGGGAUGACGGUACCGGAAGAAUAAGCACCGGCUAACUACGUGCCAGCAGCCGCGGUAAUACGUAGGGUGCAAGCGUUAAUCGGAAUUACUGGGCGUAAAGCGUGCGCAGGCGGUUUGCUAAGACCGAUGUGAAAUCCCCGGGCUCAACCUGGGAACUGCAUUGGUGACUGGCAGGCUAGAGUAUGGCAGAGGGGGGUAGAAUUCCACGUGUAGCAGUGAAAAUGCGUAGAGAUGUGGAGGAAUACCGAUGGCGAAGGCAGCCCCCUGGGCCAAUACUGACGCUCAUGCACGAAAGCGUGGGGAGCAAACAGGAUUAGAUACCCUGGUAGUCCACGCCCUAAAACGAUGUCAACUAGUUGUUGGGGAUUCAUUUCCUUAGUAACGUAGCUAACGCGUGAAGUUGACCGCCUGGGGAGUACGGUCGCAAGAUUAAAACUCAAAUGAAUUGACGGGGUCAUAGCUGUUUCCU